rnacentral:rRNA from 1 species
UACGUAGGGUGCGAGCGUUAAUCGGAAUUACUGGGCGUAAAGUGUGCGCAGGCGGCGCUGCAAGUCGAGUGUGAAAGCCCCGGGCUUAACCUGGGAACUGCGCUCGAAACGGGCUGGCUAGAGAUCGGGAGAGGAGAGUGGAAUUCCCAGUGUAGAGGUGAAAUUCGUAGAUAUUGGGAAGAACACCGGUGGCGAAGGCGGCUCUCUGGACCGAUACUGACGCUGAGGCGCGAAAGCGUGGGGAGCAAACAGG